rnacentral:lncRNA from 7 species
AAAAGAUGUUCCAACUGAUGAAAGGCGGCAAGACGAGGCUGCUCGGCUCUUAACUCCGUUGUACCUGCAAUCAGCAGCUCCUUCCAUGGCAACCCACCAAAACCAAGGCCACGGAGCCGUGGUACCAUCAGCCACACACAAAUGGACAGGAAGACAGACCACGAAGGACAAGACACUGUCUAUCUUCAAGAGCCUGGAAAAAAACCAUACGUAUUCUUUUCCACUGGCUACAGCAAUCUAAUCUGUCCCGGUCCAUGAGAGAUGUGACAAGGUCUCUGCAUUCUUACCGAGAGGCCUUGGCAGUCUUGGUGUCUCCCAGGAAAAGACGAUUCGCAUUCAGCUGAGAACUACACAACGAGAACAAAUAGGAGCAAGACGUGUGGUCAGACCAGGAGAGGAGCUGGGCACUGCCGCUGUGUCAGCGCUCAGCAGGUUUUAGGACUCGAUUCCAUGUGGAAUUCCCAGCUAAAUUCAAGAUCAACAAGUGAAGCCAGACAGAACAACACUGAAAACCACACAGACGCCAUAUUGAUGGCUCUCUGCUAAUUUACACAACAAUAUGAGUCAAAACAGAAGCAUCCUGAAACUUCACCAACUGCUCUACAACGUAAGCAGUAAAAGAAAGCGGAUACUUCCCAGAGGAAGCUGUGCUAUCAAUGAGUAUAUAUGCAGUUCAAUGACAGCCUGCUCUUCAGCCUCAGUGCAAACACUUAUGCACAGCUGUUCAUUCACCAAAUUCUCAUUUCACUUCUCUGCAUUAUGACUGCAAAACUGAUGACUGGAAAAACGGAGCAAAAAUGCCACCAUGACGCUACGGCUUUGUUAUUUAGUUUCCUUUCAUGCUUUCCUAGCAGUCCUCCAUACAAAUAAUCACCAGCCCAAAUCCAUUAGUUUUCUCCCCAAAAUAAAUGUCAAUUGAGUCUGUAUCAGCAAUUCAUUUGAAGUGAAAUUAAAACAUUAU